rnacentral:rRNA from 1 species
AUGAACGCUGGCGGCGUGCUUAACACAUGCAAGUCGAACGAUGAACCCCGCUUGCGGGGGGAUUAGUGGCGAACGGGUGAGUAACACGUGAGUAACCUGCCCUUAACUCUGGGAUAAGCCUUGGAAACGGGGUCUAAUACUGGAUAUUGACUUUACCUCGCAUGGGGUUUGGUUGAAAGAUUUAUUGGUUUUGGAUGGACUCGCGGCCUAUCAGCUUGUUGGUGAGGUAAUGGCUCACCAAGGCGACGACGGGUAGCCGGCCUGAGAGGGUGACCGGCCACACUGGGACUGAGACACGGCCCAGACUCCUACGGGAGGCAGCAGUGGGGAAUAUUGCACAAUGGGCGAAAGCCUGAUGCAGCGACGCCGCGUGAGGGAUGACGGCCUUCGGGUUGUAAACCUCUUUCAGUAGGGAACAAGGCCAGUGUUUAGCUGGUUGAGGGUACUUGCAGAAGAAGCGCCGGCUAACUACGU